UACGUAGGGGUCGAGCGUUGUCCGGACUUACUGGGCGUAAAGCGUGCGUAGGUGGUUCGUUAAGUCUGAUGUGAAAGCCCUGGGCUCAACCUGGGAAUGGCAUUGGAAACUGGCGAUCUAGAGUGCGGUAGAGGGCAGUGGAAUUCCCGGUGUAGCAGUGAAAUGCGUAGAGAUCGGGAGGAACAUCAGUGGCGAAGGCGACUGCCUGGACCAGGACUGACACUGAGGCACGAAAGCGUGGGGAGCGAACAGG
rnacentral:rRNA from 1 species